rnacentral:lncRNA from 10 species
GCUGCAGCCAGAGCUUGGGAUCGCUUUCUGCUAUUCAACGUCCUCCACCUCUGCCCCCCUCUCGCCCCAGCCGGUGACAGGCUGUUGCCCUGUGAUCUGCAGGUCCUGGGACGUGCACAGACAGCUAAGAUGCCAGGACAUUCCAGAAGGUGGGAAAGGGAGGAGACUGUAACGUAUCCCUAAUUGAGCACCCAGGUGGUGUGACACUUCUGCCCUGUCCCUGCCCUCAGAGGAGAUUCUGACAUAUCACUGCCCCAAAAUGCAGCACCUGAGUAAUUUGACUCUCCUGCCUGGACCCAGCGUACAGAUGGGAUUGUGCUUCAUUGCUGGACCCAGCAUUUAGGCCCACUACCUAUGAGAUUGCAUGCUCCUGCCUGGGCUGUGCCCACAGUGACCUUGUGACAUAUAUCUGCAUCCAUGACCUAAAAGAUGUGACACUUCUUGCCUGCAACCUGCCCUGCACAGGAAAGAUUGCGACUUCUCCCUGGAAGCAGACACCAGGGAUCGUCACUCCCGUGGAUGAUCAAAGGUCAGUUCCUGGUCAAUAUAAGUAAACAAGCCUGUUUAAGAUAAAUUCCCCUACACUCCACUGUACCUACUCCUGGCCCUCUGCCUCAGGGUUAUAAAGCAGCUGCCUUCAGCUAUUCUCCCCUGGGUCUUUGCAGAACCUUCCGAACUUUCAGAAGGUUUGCGUCCUUUCCCUAUAGUUUUUCUUACCAUUCUGACUGAUCCCUCACAGGCGCCUGUAAUUUCAGCUACUCCGGGGGCUGAGGCAGGAGAAUCGCUUGAACUCGGGAAGCAGAAGUUGCAGUGAGCCAAGGUCGCACCACUGCACUCCAGCCCAGGCGACAUUGUGAGACUCCAUCUCAAAAAAAAAAAAAAGAAAAAAAGUGUACUAACAAGACCCAGCACACAGAGGAGACUUUUACCAUUGUAUGAACACCCAUCAAACAGUACACAUCAUCAUUGUGAGUUCUGAAUCUCACACAUAGAGGAAGUCAAAGGUGGAAAACUUGACUCUCAUAUUUGGAUCCAGUCCACAGGUUCUGCUAGCAAGGAAGACUGAGACAUAUUGUGGGGCUCUACGCCAAUGUGACAUUACUGUUCUGCCUUGGCCUGUACCUGAAAAGGCAUUGUGACAUAUUGCUGGGCCCAGCAACAAGGUGGCAUGAGUCUUCCGUAUGGACCCUGACAACAGAGCAUUGUGACAUAUCUUUAAGAGCAUCAACUAUUUGAUGUGACUCUCCUUUUCUACCAAGGCUUUCCUCAUAUGAGAGAUUGUGACACAUCUUCUGGCACAGAAAUCAAGUGAUGUGUUUCUCCUGCCUGAGCUUUGCUCAUAGAAAGCAUUGUGACAUAUCUCUGGUCUCAGCACCCAGGUGUGAUUUUGACGCACACUUCUGCCCAGCACCUGAGUAAUGUGAUUCUUCAGAAUUGGCCCGGCCCACAAAUAGGAUUGUGCCACACUGCUGGACCCAGUGCCUAAGUGAUGUAACUCUAUUCUUCUGCCUUGGUGCUACUCGAAAAAGACAUUGUAACAUAUCUCAGAGCCUUACACCCAGGUAAUGUGAGUCUCCUCUUCUGCCUUGCUGCUGCACACAGAAGCGGAAUAUGUACAGGAUUGUUAAUCUCAUCUUGGAUCUUCCUGCACUUGUGAUUGUGACACAUGCCUCUGUGUAGAACCUGAGUGAGUUUACUCUCCUGCCUGGAUUUAACCCAUAGAUGGAAUCGUGACAUAUCACUGUACCAGAAACUAGGUGAUGUGACUCUAUUUUCUUGCCUCUGUGUUUUUAUAUGGGGCAUCGUGACAUAUCACUGGGCCUUGCACCCAAGUGAUGGGAGUUUUCUCUCCUGCUUUGGUGCCGUCCACAAUGAAAAUUGUGAAAUAUUGCUGCCCUCCCCACUAGGUUAUGUUACUCUCCUGCCUCUGCUUUGCCCACAUGGGUCACUGUGACAUAUUGCUGGGUCUAAAACCCAGGUAAUGUCACUCUCUUGUUUGGGUUCUGCCUGCAGGAGUCAUUGUCACAUAUCUCUAUGCUCAUCACCCAGGUAAUAUGAUUCCCUUUUACUGCUUAGUUCCUUCUCACAAAACAACUUGUGACAUAUUGCUAGGCCCAAUACACCUAGCUGGUGUAACUCUUCUUUUCUUUUCUUUCCUUUUUUUUUUUUUUUUUUUGAGAUGGAGUCUCACUCUGUUGCCCAGGCUGGAGUGCAGCGGCAUGAUUUCAGCUCACUACAGCCUCUGCCUCCUAGGUUGAAGCGAUUGUCCUGACUUGGCCUCCCAAGUAGCUGGGAUUAAAGGCAUGUGCCACCACGCCCGGCUAAUUUUUGUAUUUAUAGUAGAGACAGGGUUUCGCCAUGUUGGCUAGGCUGGUUUCGAACUUCUAACCUCAGGUGAUCCUCCUGCCUCGGCCUCCCAAAGUACUGGAAUUACAGGCAUGAGCCACUGCACCUGGCCUGAUUCUUCUCUUCUUUCUAGGUUUCAACUGCAGCAGAGAUUGUAACAAACCACUGGGCCCAGCCGCAUAAUGAUGUUACUCUUUUGCCUUGGGCCUGCCCUCAGAAGGCACUGUCACAUAUUCAUGGGCCCAACGCCAAGGUGAUAUGUGUCUCCAGCCUGGACCCUGCCCACAGGGGGCAUUGUGACAUAUCUCUUGGCCCAUCAGAUGUUUGAUUGUUAUCCCCUCCCCUCUUCUACCCUGUGUUUGCCUAUAAAAGACACAGUCAUAUGUUCCUGGGCCCAGCACCUAGGUGUUGUCUUACUGGAAUGUGUCCACAUGGGGAUUGUGAUAUGUCACGUGGCCCAGUACUUAACUUGAUGUGACUCUCCUCUCAUGCCUAGGCCUUGUAGAGAAUCCCCUUCCCCUUUUGUUUUCCUUUUUUUCUUUGCAGAUCCAGGAGAUAAUCAACUAAGAGCCAGGCACCCGUUUAGGUCUAAUAAACAUUUUACAAACUGCUCUCUCUUUUAAUUCACCUAUCUGAGAGAUUCCUCUGUACAAUAAAACUUGGUCUCCACAAUCCUUUACCUUAACCUAAACCUUCCCUUUCAUUGAUCCCAGGUCUUCAGAUUCCACCACUUGUCAACCACAAAAUAUUUAAAUUUACCUGGAAGCCGCCCGCUUUGAGUUGUCCCGCCUUUCUGAACCAAACCAAUAUAUUCCUGCAAAACCGGCCAUGAUUAAAACAUCAAAAAAUAAUACAUGUUGGCGUGGCUGUGGUGAAAAAAGAAUACUUUUUCACUGCUGGUGGGUAUGUAAACUAGUACAACCACUAUGAAAAACAGUAUGGAGAUUCAUUAAAUAAAAGUAAAGCUACCAUUUGAUUAAGCAAUUCUACUACUGUGUAUCUACAUGAAGAAAAAGAAAUUAUAUGUGUAAGACACUUGCACACACAUGUUUAUAGCAGCACAAUUUGCAAUUGCAAAAAUAUGGAAGCAGCCUAAUGCCCAUCAGCUAAUGAGUGGAAAAAGAAAAUGUGGCAUAUAUAUACCAAUGCAUACUACUCAGCCCUAACGAGGAAUAAAAUAAUAGCAUUUGCAGCAAUCUCGAUUUAGUUGGAGACCAUUAUUCUAAGUAACUCAGCAAUAAAAAA